UCCGCAGCGCAUGCAUACAUUUUUUCGUUAAUUGCAUAAAUAUAUAUUUAAAACAUGUUUUUGUAUUAAUUUUGACGGUUCGUUUUUAAACAUACGACAAUUUGUAGCCGUUUGACCAUUCUGUGGAAAGUGCGUACAUGCGAACUACUUUGUUUACGUUUUCCAAGUUGGCGGCCGCCAGCUUACAAACCAUACAGGUUUCUUAUACUAAGUAACUGAUUAUCAUGACACUGUCAUAACAUGAGGUGCCAGGACAGGCAGGAGAUGUGAGAAGUAGCAGUUUUAAAAUUUUAUUGCGGGAAAUAUUAAUUUCAUUAGUAUUUUAUCUUUUGUUGGAGAGAAUUGGAGAUUUGAGCCACUAUAAACAUACAUGUAUAAUAUCACUGUACUAGUGUACAUGUUUUUAAGGGGGCAGCUGGACACUGCCUCCUGGUGCAGGAGUUUCUCGCUACAUUGAAGACCCAUUGGUGGCCUUCAGCUGUUGUCUGCUCUAUGGUCUGGUUGUUGUCGCUUUGACACAUUCCCCAUUUCCUUUCUUAAUUUUAUGUAUAUAAUAUAUCUCUGCAUAUCUGAAGCCCCAGACUAGUAUAUUUCUUUUGGACUAGUAAGUUUUUGCAAAACUUUGUUUGAACCAAUAAGAAAAAUGUCAGAAUAUUGGUCUUUGGACAAGUAGUUGAGAAAAGAUUUUGGUGCAGACUGUAUAUAUAUAUCACAUUUCCUUUAUCAAAAGUUUUUUUCAAGCAGAAAAAAAGAAUGGGUUGAAGAAAAAUUAUUGAAAGCUACAUUUGUCAAAAUUAAAUAUUUGCGGAAAAUUUGCUCUUUUUAGUGGCCUCCUCUCA